rnacentral:rRNA from 1 species
UUUGAACGCUGGCGGCAGGCUUAACACAUGCAAGUCGAGCGGGGGAGGGUAGCUUGCUACUGGACCUAGCGGCGGACGGGUGAGUAAUGCUUAGGAAUCUGCCUAUUAGUGGGGGACAACAUCUCGAAAGGGAUGCUAAUACCGCAUACGUCCUACGGGAGAAAGCAGGGGAUCUUCGGACCUUGCGCUAAUAGAUGAGCCUAAGUCGGAUUAGCUAGUUGGUGGGGUAAAGGCCUACCAAGGCGACGAUCUGUAGCGGGUCUGAGAGGAUGAUCCGCCACACUGGGACUGAGACACGGCCCAGACUCCUACGGGAGGCAGCAGUGGGGAAUAUUGGACAAUGGGGGGAACCCUGAUCCAGCCAUGCCGCGUGUGUGAAGAAGGCCUUAUGGUCGUAAAGCACUUUAAGCGGGGAGGAGGCUACUUUAGUUAAUACCUAGAGAUAGUGACGUUACUCGCAGAAUAAGCACCGGCUAACUCUGUGCCAGCCGCCGCAGUAA